CAAGGAAUUUUCCCCAAUGGGCGCAAGCCUGAGGGAGCAACGCCGCGUGCAGGACGACGGCCUUCGGGUUGUAAACUGCUUUUGCGUGGGACGAUAACGACGGUACCACGCGAAUCAGCCCCGGCUAACUCUGUGCCAGCAGCCGCGGUAAUACAGAGGGGGCAAGCGUUGUCCGGACUUACUGGGCGUAAAGCGCACGCAGGUGGUAGCGCAAGUGGGGUGUGAAAGCCGCCAGCUCAACUGGCGGAGGCCAUCCCAAACUGCGUCACUUGAGGCCUGUAGAGGUAUGUGGAAUUGCCGGUGUAGAGGUGAAAUUCGUAGAUAUUAGGAAGAACACCAGUGGCGAAGGCGGCUCACUGGUCCGGUACUGAUGCUGAGGUGCGAAAGCGUGGGGAGCAAACAGGAUUAGAUACCCCUGUAGUCC
rnacentral:rRNA from 1 species